rfam:Gossypium raimondii Chr03_contig_841, whole genome shotgun sequence.
AAGAGUUUAAUGCCACAUCAACAUUUUCAUCUUGAAUUUCAGGAUUUUCAUCUUGAAAAAAAAAUCAAAUCCAAAUGAAAAUCCUAAAAUUGAGGAUAAAUUUGCUAAUGUGGCAUUAAAUUAUU